rnacentral:rRNA from 1 species
GAUGAACGCUGGCGGCGUGCCUAAUACAUGCAAGUCGAGCGAACAGACGAGGAGCUUGCUCCUCUGACGUUAGCGGCGGACGGGUGAGUAACACGUGGAUAACCUACCUAUAAGACUGGGAUAACUUCGGGAAACCGGAGCUAAUACCGGAUAAUAUAUUGAACCGCACGGUUCAAUAGUGAAAGACGGUUUUGCUGUCACUUAUAGAUGGAUCCGCGCCGCAUUAGCUAGUUGGUAAGGUAACGGCUUUCCAAGGCAACGAUGCGUAGCCGACCUGAGAGGGUGAUCGGCCACACUGGAACUGAGACACGGUCCAGACUCCUACGGGAGGCAGCAGUAGGGAAUCUUCCGCAAUGGGCGAAAGCUUGACGGAGCAACGCCGCGUGAGUGAUGAAGGUCUUCGGAUCGUAAAACUCUGUUAUUAGGGAAGAACAAAUGUGUAAGUAACUAUGCACGUCUUGACGGUACCUAAUCAGAAAGCCACGGCUAACUACGUG